AUUCCAUUCCGAACUCAGAAGUGAAACGAAAUAGCGCCGAUGGUAGUGUGGGGUUUCCCCAUGUGAGAGUAGGACAUCGCCAGGC
rnacentral:rRNA from 1 species